rnacentral:rRNA from 1 species
GAUGAACGCUAGCGGGAGGCCUAACACAUGCAAGCCGAGCGGUAUUUGUCCUUCGGGACAGAGAGAGCGGCGUACGGGUGCGGAACACGUGUGCAACCUGCCUUUAUCUGGGGGAUAGCCUUUCGAAAGGAAGAUUAAUACCCCAUAAUAUAUCGAAUGGCAUCAUUCGAUAUUGAAAACUCCGGUGGAUAGAGAUGGGCACGCGCAAGAUUAGAUAGUUGGUGAGGUAACGGCUCACCAAGUCAGUGAUCUUUAGGGGGCCUGAGAGAGUGAUCCCCCACACUGGUACUGAGACACGGACCAGACUCCUACGGGAGGCAGCAGUGAGGAAUAUUGGACAAUGGGUGAGAGCCUGAUCCAGCCAUCCCGCGUGAAGGACUAAGGCCCUAUGGGUUGUAAACUUCUUUUAUACUGGGAUAAACCUACUUACGUGUAAGUAGCUGAAGGUACAGUAUGAAUAAGCACCGGCUAACUCCGUG